rnacentral:misc_RNA from 1 species
UGAAAGUAUUUAUUAUUAAAUUAAAGAAAUUCGAGCUUUUAUUCAAAUAAAUAGAUGCAUCGAACAUCAGACUUGCAGGUGCUAUAGAGAUGCCAAGAUUAAUUCCCAAUUUCUAUAGAUUUAGACAAAAGCAUCUCUAUAUCGUCAACAAUGCUAACAUACUUAGCUCUAUUUUCCUUUUUCACAUACUCUUCAGCAUUUCUUUGGCUGUACUCGCUUAACCCCACUCCCCUUCUCUUCUCCCAUAGCCUCUCGCUGAAAUUCCUAUGCGCAUAGUACGCUUCUGCCUCCAAUAAAACGAUGCCGUUUCCUUCUCCGUCGUUUUCUUUUUUUGUCACCUGAAUCGGAAGCCUCUCGUAGUGUCCAUCAUUCGUACCCUCCAAUUCGUCAAGUCGGGCCAAUCCCCUAAUUGACACGCAGUAGAGUUCGCCAUUGACAAGGUGGCCGGCGCCGGGGAGGUUAAUUAGGUACGGGAUCCCGUAAGGACCAAUAACGAGAGGAUAUGGUUGGUGAGUGAUGCAGGUGCCGAGAUAGGCAGCGUCAUUCUGGAGGAUUAGGUCUUGAAUAAGAGUGUAGUUGGGGAAAUCCCGUUUGAGAGUUCCGUAUGUGAAAAUUAAGGCUUGUUUGGUAUGGGUGUCAGCCAUUGCUAGCUUGGGAGAGAAAGGGAGAGAGAGAUAGAGAGAGAGUAGAACAGGAGACGUUCUAGGGGACGUUCUCAGAUUUCUUUACUCAGUCUCGGGCUGGGAAAUGGGAACAACAGCCUCUCGCCCAUGGCUUGAAGAUUAG